CACGACGCCGCGUGGGGGAUGACGGCCUUCGGGUUGUAAACCUCUUUCGACCCCGACGAAGGGUGACUGACGGUAGGGGUAGAAGAAGCACCGGCCAACUACGUGCCAGCAGCCGCGGUAAUACGUAGGGUGCGAGCGUUGUCCGGAAUUAUUGGGCGUAAAGAGCUCGUAGGCGGUGUGUCGCGUCGGCCGUGAAAACCUGCAGCUUAACUGUGGGCUUGCGGUCGAUACGGGCAUCACUGGAGUUCGGCAGGGGAGACUGGAAUUCCUGGUGUAGCGGUGAAAUGCGCAGAUAUCAGGAGGAACACCGGUGGCGAAGGCGGGUCUCUGGGCCGAUGCUGACGCUGAGGAGCGAAAGCGUGGGGAGCGAACAGGAUUAGAUACCCUGGUAGUCCACGCCGUAAACGGUGGGCGCUAGGUGUGGGGGCCAUUCCACGGUCUCUGUGCCGGAGCUAACGCAUUAAGCGCCCCGCCUGGGGAGUACGGCCGC
rnacentral:rRNA from 1 species